CAACAGCGUAUAUUAAAGCUGUUGCGGUUAAAAAGCUCGUAGUUGGAUUUCUGUCAAGGACAACUGGUCCGCCCCUCGGGUGAGCACAUAGUUUGGUCUUGGCAUCUUGUUGGAAACUGUUGCUGCACUUGGUUGUGUGGCGCAGUGUCCAGCACUUUCACUUUGAGGAAAUUGGAGUGUUUCAAGCAGGCACAUGCCUUUGGACACAGUAGCAUGGAAUAAUUAGAUUGGGCUUUUGCUCCAACUUGUCGGUUUCUGGAGCUGAGGUGAGAAUUAAUGGGGAUUGUUGGGGGCAUCCGAAUUUAGCCGUCAGAGGUGAAAUUCUUGGAUCUGCUAAAGACGGACAACUGCGAAAGCGUUUGCCCAGGAUGUUUUCAUUGA
rnacentral:rRNA from 1 species